rnacentral:rRNA from 1 species
GUCCUUUUGAAAUUUAUUUAAGGUUUAACCUGCCCACUGAAUUAUUAAAGGGCCGCAGUAUUUUGACUGUGCAAAGGUAGCAUAAUCAUUAGUUUUUUAAUUUAAAGCUUGUAUGAAGGGUUGGACGAGGUAAAUUCUGUCUCUAAAUGAUUUAUUUUAGAAUUUAAUUUUUAAGUUAAAAAGCUUAAAUAUAUUUAAAAGACGAGAAGACCCUAUAGAUCUUUAUAUUAAAUUUAUAUAUUAUAAAUAGGAUUUUUAGAUUAAUAAUUAGAUUUAGUAUUUUAUUGGGGUAAUAAAAAGAUUGAGUUAAUUCUUUUUUAAUUUUAACAUUGAUAAAUGAUUUUAUGAUCCAAUAUUAUUGAUUAAAAGAUUAAGUUACCUUAGGGAUAACAGCGUAAUUUUUUUAGAGAGUUCAUAUCGAUAAAAAAGCUUGCGACCUCGAUGUUGGAUUAAAAAUUAUUUUAGGUGUAGAAGCUUAAAAUUUUGGUCUGUUCGACCAUUAAAUUUUUACAUGAUCUGAGUUCAGACCGGUGUAAGCCAGGUCGGUUUCUAUCUUUAGAAAAAUUUAAAAUUUCAGUACGAAAGGACCAAAUUUUGUAUAUAUUAAUAUUUAAAGAUUUUGAUUAU